AUUGAACGCUGGCGGCAUGCCUUACACAUGCAAGUCGAACGGCAGCACGGGUGCUUGCACCUGGUGGCGAGUGGCGAACGGGUGAGUAAUACAUCGGAACAUGUCCUGUAGUGGGGGAUAGCCCGGCGAAAGCCGGAUUAAUACCGCAUACGAUCCACGGAUGAAAGCGGGGGACCUUCGGGCCUCGCGCUAUAGGGUUGACCGAUGGCUGAUUAGCUAGUUGGUGGGGUAAAGGCCUACCAAGGCGACGAUCAGUAGCUGGUCUGAGAGGACGACCAGCCACACUGGGACUGAGACACGGCCCAGACUCCUACGGGAGGCAGCAGUGGGGAAUUUUGGACAAUGGGCGAAAGCCUGAUCCAGCAAUGCCGCGUGUGUGAAGAAGGCCUUCGGGUUGUAAAGCACUUUUGUCCGGAAAGAAAUCCUUGGCUCUAAUACAGUCGGGGGAUGACGGUACCGGAAGAAUAAGCACCGGCUAACUACGUG
rnacentral:rRNA from 1 species